CCAAAAUGACCCGAUGAAGUGGCCAUGGCCCUUAGCCAGCACUGAAGUGUUUCCAUUUGCCAGCCAGCCAGCUUCCAGGAGAGCCAAGCAUCUUUGGUUUCAUGGAAACAGCCUGUAAAUCAAUGUAAGAAACAGGCUGUGGUUUCUGGGUGCUGCCAACAUGUAUUGAGAUUGCAUCACCUUAGACCACCCUGCUGUUGACCCAGUGUACUAUUUAACUCGAAGCCAGCACAGAAGGGCUUCAGACUUGCGGUGCGUAUAUACUCGGCUGAUGAUGGACAAAGAGGCUCUUUGAGUCUAGGCACCAGUAGUAUCUGGAAGACUGGCUGUGACCUGGAAAAGCCAGACAUCUGGCUUCUGGAUCAUUGAUGCUUCAGGAAGGGCACAGGAUUCUGGUAGAUUCUCUGUUGUCUGUCUCUUAAAAGAGAUUUUUAUCUAGGUUUCUUCUUCUACAUUUCACUUACUCAUGUUUCAAAGCUGGAAUGGAAAGAGAGAUACAUAGAGCAAGAAAGUGUCAAAAAAGUAAUAGAUAUGAUAAAACCCACAUUUGCCAUGACACUAUAUUAUACAUUCCACAGCUUCAAAAUGACAAUGUGUGCUGAUGAAGGUAAUUGUUAAUGUACCUGUUGACUUUGUAAAUGUGUGUUAAUGUUAGCCAUGCUGUGUUUCAUCCUUGCGUAAUUCUCUGUAGGAAAUAAUGCUGCUGUACCUGACACAUGUCAUACAAUGUUAAAGAUAAUGUGUACAACAAUAAUAACUAAAGAGCAGUGUUCUCCAUUUGCUUUAACGGCACAAUCUAAUAAUUGGGUUUACUAUACUAGGUAAUAGUGUGUCUUGUUUUCAGUUGUACCACCCAGGUUAGUUUGAAAAACUAAAUAAAUGCAAAUUCUUGCAAAGAAGUCA